rnacentral:ncRNA from 1 species
UAGAUAUCUCUAAGAUCACUACUAUGGCACAUUGGUUACUCAUGUAUCCUAUGUUUAUUGUAAAUUAUUCACUCUUUGAGUGUGGAAUACAUAGUUAGUACACCUCAUUAUUCUUUCUCUCAUUCUUCUCUCUCUCUCUCAGUUUCUUUUGCAAGCUUUGUGUGAAUUUAUACUAGCUAGGUUCUCUAUUUAGGUUUUAGAAAAAUUUCACAACAAGUAAUGAUUAAUAGGGACUAUUAGGGGCAUUCGUGUUUCUUUGUCUAAGGUGAAAUUCUUGGAUUUAUGAAAGACGAACCAUCGUGAAAGAAUUUGGCAAGCAUGUUUUCAUUAUUGAAGAAUGAAAGUUAGGGGCUCGAAGA